UAAGACAGCGCCUGCGUCUGUGGUUGAUGCUCAUUUAUUGAAACGAAGUCCUGACUUUCUGCAAAUAGAGCUUCUGUCCUGAUCUUGUAGUUUACACCUGAAGUCUAUGUGUUCUAGCAAUGUCUUUAAUCUGUGCUGGUAGGGGCUCGAUGUAUUAAGAAUUUCCUGCAGUUCUACAGGAAACUCAGCACUGGAGGGACGUGAGCACUCGAGGAGAGAGAGAACCUUUUUUCACUCGGUGUUUUUUUUGACAGCCAUUUCUACUUCUGCUUGAGUCAUGGUUUCACUGCAGUGAACACUUUGACUCCAGUAUGUGUUUGAAGCUCCUCUGUCCACUGCUGUCAAACACACCCGUCAUUAGUGAGUGAAAUGGAAGUCAUGGUUUGGCUGUGUUUCACUCAUCUGCUCUGGUUUCUUGGUCAAAGCCACGGACAAACUCAGUUCAUUUAUAGAGCAACAAAUAAAGUAGAGUUGAGAUGUGAAACAACCAAAUGGCAAAUAAGCACAAAGUCUGACAGCCGGAUUGACUUCAACUGCACACAGUGUGACCACAUCAGCACUGAGCUCACAGAAGAUGAUAAGAAACUGGACUUCUGCACAAAUAACCAUUCAGAGUCAAAGCCUGGCUGCACUCUAGCAGUAAAGAGUGGCUUUGUUGCCUGUGUUAAAUCUCUGGAUCCUGGAUUCUUAUAUCCAUUUAAACCGUCACCCAACAUCGUCCGUUCAUACAUAGUUGCUGUUCCAAACCCACACAUUUGUUACUGGUCAGAUCUGUGUGCACCACCUGAGACGAAGUGUAACCCUAUAACAAACCAACAGAAUCCAGACGUGUGCGGAUAAAACCAAUAAGACUGGAUUUAUUAUCACGGGAAGUAAGAACCCGAACCAGAAGUAACAUCCACACCUGAGGAAACAUCUUCACUGACAGUACCUGAAGGUGGAUCAGUGAGUUUAAACUGUAGUUUCACCUUCACACAAGAAUAUAAUGGGGUGUCUUUUGUUGUUUACUGGAUUAAGACUGUUGGAGAGAGCAGCACCUGUGUGUAUUCUUAUGAUUAUAACCCGUAUGAGCUGCUCGGGCUCGGUCACCACUGCACCAUACAGGAAGAUCUGCUUAACAGACUCUCAAACCAAACCGAAGGACAGAACAGUCACAACAUCAGGAUCAGUGAAGUGAUGGAGUCAGACAGCGGUCAGUACCUCUGUGCUGUACAAGUGCACCCAAGUAAUAAAAACACUGCUGAAGGAAACUGGAAGGUGAUAAAAAGCAUUACAGUCAGUGUCCACAAAGGGAAGAGACCACAGCCAACCAGGACCACCGUGACUCAGACAACUACUGAGAAAACAACAAAGAAAACUACUGAGGAAACAACAAAGAAAGCUACUGAGAACGGUAGUGAUGAUGAUCAUCUUAAGCCCUUAUAUGUUGCACUUCCCAUAAUACUGUGUCUUCUGCUGAUUGUCUUGGUCGUGUUUAUAAGAAAGAAGUGCAUCACAUCACAAGGACGUCAGACUGGUCAACAAAGAGAAGAAGCUCCUGACAUGGACUGUUCUCCAUAUGCUGUUGGAAAUGGUGAGGAGGGGAGUUCCUUUGGAUCUAAGACGGCUGAUCCAGGCCGUGAAGAAUCCACACCGCCUACUGACCCUCAUUCAGUCGUUAGAAUGAACAGCUUGUAUGAAUCUUUGGCUUCAGAUCACAACAAACAUAUUUAAUACAAAGCUGCUGAUCUGUGGGUGUUAAAGGCGCCUCAGGGCAGCAGCUCACACGCUGAAAGACUGUAGAGAAGGAUGCAGAGUAACGAAGUGGACAAGCUUGUUAAAUAAUACUUUUAGCUGAUUCUCAUAGAUCACCAGUCAUAUGCAAAUGUUUGAGCACACCUGGUCAGAUUACCUGCAUUAUUGAUUUUCUAACUAAACUAAGUUACCACAUCAUCCUCUAGAGGGAACACUUUAAUAUGAGUUCACUUAUUUUCACUUCAAUCACCAAAACAUGCCAUUUGACCAGGAGUGCACAAACCCUUACAUACAACUAUAUGUGUAUAACUAUAUGCAAUGCUUUUGUUUCAAAGGAGACACAUUAUUGCUGUUUUUAAGUGUAUUUACAGAUCUUUGUGCUCUUUCAUGUCUAAAAUAAAUAACUUCUUAAUCAA